UACGUAGGUGGCGAGCGUUGUUCGGAAUUACUGGGCGUAAAGCGUGCGCAGGCGGCUUUGCAAGACAGAUGUGAAAUCCCCGGGCUUAACCUGGGAACUGCAUUUGUGACUGCAUGGCUGGAGUGUGGCAGGAGGGGGGUGGAAUUCCACGUGUAGCAGUGAAAUGCGUAGAGAUGUGGAGGAACACCAAUGGCGAAGGCAGCUCGCUGGGACGGUACUGACGCUGAGACGCGAAAGCGUGGGGAGCAAACAGG
rnacentral:rRNA from 1 species